rnacentral:rRNA from 1 species
CUGGAGGUAUCAGAAGUGCGAAUGCUGACAUAAGUAACGAUAAAGCGGGUGAAAAGCCCGCUCGCCGGAAGACCAAGGGUUCCUGUCCAACGUUAAUCGGGGCAGGGUGAGUCGACCCCUAAGGCGAGGCCGAAAGGCGUAGUCGAUGGGAAACAGGUUAAUAUUCCUGUACUUGGUGUUACUGCGAAGGGGGGACGGAGAAGGCUAUGUUGGCCGGGCGACGGUUGUCCCGGUUUAAGCGUGUAGGCUGGUUUUCCAGGCAAAUCCGGAAAAUCAAGGCUGAGGCGUGAUGACGAGGCACUGCGGUGCUGAAGCAACAAAUGCCCUGCUUCCAGGAAAAGCCUCUAAGCAUCAGGUAACAUCAAAUCGUACCCCAAACCGACACAGGUGGUCAGGUAGAGAAUACCAAGGCGCUUGAGAGAACUCGGGUGAAGGAACUAGGCAAAAUGGUGCCGUAACUUCGGGAGAAGGCACGCUGAUAUGUAGGUGAAGUCCCUCGCGGAUGGAGCUGAAAUCAGUCGAAGAUACCAGCUGGCUGCAACUGUUUAUUAAAAACACAGCACUGUGCAAACACGAAAGUGGACGUAUACGGUGUGACGCCUGCCCGGUGCCGGAAGGUUAAUUGAUGGGGUUAGCGCAAGCGAAGCUCUUGAUCGAAGCCCCGGUAAACGGCGGCCGUAACUAUAACGGUCCUAAGGUAGCGAAAUUCCUUGUCGGGUAAGUUCCGACCUGCACGAAUGGCGUAAUGAUGGCCAGGCUGUCUCCACCCGAGACUCAGUGAAAUUGAACUCGCUGUGAAGAUGCAGUGUACCCGCGGCAAGACGGAAAGACCCCGUGAACCUUUACUAUAGCUUGACACUGAACAUUGAGCCUUGAUGUGUAGGAUAGGUGGGAGGCUUUGAAGUGUGGACGCCAGUCUGCAUGGAGCCGACCUUGAAAUACCACCCUUUAAUGUUUGAUGUUCUAACGUUGACCCGUAAUCCGGGUUGCGGACAGUGUCUGGUGGGUAGUUUGACUGGGGCGGUCUCCUCCUAAAGAGUAACGGAGGAGCACGAAGGUUGGCUAAUCCUGGUCGGACAUCAGGAGGUUAGUGCAAUGGCAUAAGCCAGCUUGACUGCGAGCGUGACGGCGCGAGCAGGUGCGAAAGCAGGUCAUAGUGAUCCGGUGGUUCUGAAUGGAAGGGCCAUCGCUCAACGGAUAAAAGGUACUCCGGGGAUAACAGGCUGAUACCGCCCAAGAGUUCAUAUCGACGGCGGUGUUUGGCACCUCGAUGUCGGCUCAUCACAUCCUGGGGCUGAAGUAGGUCCCAAGGGUAUGGCUGUUCGCCAUUUAAAGUGGUACGCGAGCUGGGUUUAGAACGUCGUGAGACAGUUCGGUCCCUAUCUGCCGUGGGCGCUGGAGAACUGAGGGGGGCUGCUCCUAGUACGAGAGGACCGGAGUGGACGCAUCACUGGUGUUCGGGUUGUCAUGCCAAUGGCACUGCCCGGUAGCUAAAUGCGGAAGAGAUAAGUGCUGAAAGCAUCUAAGCACGAAACUUGCCCCGAGAUGAGUUCUCCCUGACUCCUUGAGAGUCCUGAAGGAACGUUGAAGACGACGACGUUGAUAGGCCGGGUGUGUAAGCGCAGCGAUGCGUUGAGCUAACCGGUACUAAUGAACCGUGAG